rnacentral:misc_RNA from 1 species
AAGGUGCGCACCUUGCAUUAGGUGUUUUUUGGUCUGUAAGGCAAGGAAAGGAUGUUGUGAUUGACAUUAAAAACGGAUUGGUAGCAGGAAUCUAAAACAGGGCCUUACUUGCAGAGGGCCUUACUUGCAGAGGUAUGAAAAAGAGUUUCUCUACAUGCUAUAUGUAAAGGUGAUCCCAUGGGGUGAUCUAGACUCACUCGCCAUGCUUCAAAGACAACUCGGCGUUGACAUACUCGUAACAGGCCAUACCACUAGUUUGGUUUUGUAUCACUUAUCUUUGU